ACCAGCGUGGCAUUAUGAAAUAGUCUUUCUAGUUCGAAACGGCAUUCACAUCCUGUCUUCUUCAUGUCUGAGCACACGUUACCCUGAUCUAUGCCUGCAUUUAAGUAAAACUAACUGGAUUAAGCUGAUAUCCGAACGCAGACGUAACAAUGCGUUUUAACUAUUUCAUCGACCUCUCAAGCGAUGAUGUGCGACAGCUCGGGCGGUUUUUGGCAGACGACUUAAAUUAAACAUGAACCGACUGGAUUCCAAUUCAUUCAAAAGGUCAUUCUUGUUGUCAUGCCAUUUUUAUCAAUGGAUAGUUUCAAUUGCUGGACAGACGCACGCUGCUAUAAAACAAAGAUCGCUUAUUCAAAAGCGGCGAUUACUUAUAAGAUGUUCGAUUAAUGUGUUUAUUCAGAAACACAGGAUUUCUACUGAUUAUUAACUUCCAGUUAAAGCAACCAAAACCGUCCUUGACUGUGAUUGGUCCAACAUCACGCAGUCGUUCAUAAACUCAUUGAACCGAGUUGAAUGCUAUGAGGUAAGUAAAGAAAAAACUAUUUCUCUUUUCUAGUGCUAGUUUGAAUCCGUCUCGGUGGAGCUUUCACCCACAGCUUUCUAGACUGAGCGAUGUGCUGCCACCUGCAGUCACUGAAAUCGAAGCAUUUCCUCCAUACAUCAGUUAUCGCAUCACGAAUCGGAAACGAAGCGGUCCUAACACCGAACCUUGGGACACACCUUCAAGUAUUUCUUUUUUUAAAAACCUAUUCAAUAAAAAAACUGAACCAAAUGCAAUGUCCUCUUUACCUAAUGAUCAUCUAAAGAUGAAAAAGCACGACUAAAACGGACAUAAUAGACAAAUGCCGCGGUUUCCCAGUUUAUGGAUCGGGUUCACAGUAAAUCUGGGUUAUUCCAGACUGUUGAACCAUGUUCAAAUCCUCAAGAAUGCCUGUAAAAUAAUUGUUUAUUUGUAUCCAGCACAAAUGGCUCACAUGCCACAUGUGACUUGUUUACGCUUUGCAUUUAGUUGACCAUACCUAAUUGCUUUGUCUUUUAUUAAAAUGCGAUCCAUGCAAAAGCAUGUUUCGACUGUGUCUUGUUUUCAGAGAAGUCAUCAUGUCCGGGCUUGGUAAAUGUGGGAAUCAUAAACUUUUGUAGGAUCGUAAAUUUCCAUCUUCAUUCUUUGUUAGUUUUUUAGUCCAGACCUGCGGUCAAAUUUUCAGCAGCUGAAAUAACAAUUUCCCCUUGACCAAACGUUAAUUUAAAUGCAUGUCCCCUGUUUAUGGAGCACUUUGACAUUUCAAGAUGCAUUGACAUUCUCAAUUUUAUAGACAGGCUGUUAAUGUGGAAGCAAUUAUAAAACAAGCAAACACACACAGUGUAAAACUGUAUAAAUGAUAACUGUCUAACUUAAGUACAGUGCUGCCAUUUUAUAAGACGAUUCCUAUCAAAUAUAUUUUGUGGCUGAAAUUAAAAAGAUUAAAAAAAAGAAGAUGAAAAAUAUGACGUUUUUUUUAGGAGUCAUUCUUUAGGGAAGGCACAUUAAGUUCUCCGUAGAAGAUAAGCCAGAUUGGGAAUCAUGCUGGGAAAUUUAGUGUCUGUGAACAUAAAUCAAUAAAUAUAUCACAAACCGCGGUGAGACUGGGGCCCUGUCCGCACGGAGACGCGUUUAGCUGUAAACACAUACAUUUUGUAUCCUAUAGGCAUUUCGUCAUGCCUUUUGGGAGCGUGGAAACUGAUAUGUUUUGAAAAACGGGUUCCAGAAUGGAUAAAUAUGAAAACGCCGCCAAUUUAUUUUCUUGUGUUUUUUCUGAAACGAUGAUGCGAGACAGUGCUACAUUACGUAACAGCAACCCAAAAAAUAACGUACGCUGAACAACUGUUUUUUUAAUUAACUAACAUUACCACAGAUUAAUAAAUGCAUUGUUCCAUGUCCGUUUGCAUACCACAUUUUUUUUUUUUUUUGGUUUUAUGUUGUAGCAGAUAUUAGACGUGGGAAAAAACAAUUGGAUAGGGAAAGUUCUGGCUUUGUGCUCAUUGAUCUCUCUCCUAAUGAGCUGAUGAUCUCGAUCAGGUGUGAUAAAUAUGCAAAAUGAAAAUGAUAGAAAAUGAAAACCACUGAUGUAGAUCGUCCAAGAUGUUGUAUCAAUUCCAUACUUCUUAAAAGAAAUUAAAUUGGUGAAUAUAUUGAUAUAUUUUAAAUAUCUGUUAAUACCUCACCCUGCUACGCCCUCUUCAGUGAUGUUUCCUUCCCCAAGAAGACUUCAGAGUUGCCUCCAUGUUGGCCAUGGGACUUUGCCAUCGGUCUGAUUGAUCUGAAAUCAACUGCAGGUGACAGAUCCUUUUUCCUAUUUAGCUCCCAAAUUUAGCGCUCUACAACAGUCUACCUAACAUUGUUUGGGAGGCAGAAACACUCAAAAUUUUAAUCAAGAUUAAAAAUAUAAUUACGUGUUCCCUUUUUUUUUUUACCACCAAAGCAAUGAUGACAUUUUAAUAGUGACUGUUUCUGUGGGAGAACACCCAACAAACAAAGUCGUCAAUAAGGAAACUCAAAUAUUUUUGUAGUCCCUGUUUAGGUAGUGACAAGUUUAGAUAUUUUUGAACCUGGCUCAAAGACGCUCAUCAGCACACGGUUAGUUAGCGCAGUUCUAAACGGUGGUAGACAUAUAGAAACACAAAAUGUUAUGGAAAAACUCUCAAAAAAGUGUGCUUAAUUGCAGAAAAAGGUGUUGAGUGACAUAUUGUGGGACCUAAAGUUUUAUAAUUUACAAAGAAAAUAUAAAAUAAAUAUUUUUUUCAAAUUUACAUUUUAAAAGAAACAAAGCAACAAAAAGAUGUUAAUAACUGUUUUUUUAGCAGGUUUUGUUGUUUUAUUUCUUUAGCUUAUAAAUAGAUAAGUAAGAGAGAAAAACAUAAUCUCUGGUUAUUUCAGGGCUAAAUAAGUACUAAGAUUAAUAUAAUAUUAUUAUUAUUAUUGGUUGGUGUUUUCAAUAUACUUUUUAAUGGUUGUAAUUAUUUUAUGUUUUAUUUCCUCCUCAAAAUCUGAAAACAGAAAACAACAGAUGUGUUUGAUUAAUUAGUUAAAACACACGCACACUUAAAUUUAAUUCUGAAUUAAAUCGCUGAUUUGUUAACAAUACAAUGUUGCUUUGAUUUCCUGUUUUUAGAAGUAUCUUGUAUCAUUCUUGCACAUGGUCCAGUGCUCACCUGUAUGUCUGAUCCUGUAAUGAUGUUUGUCACAUUUCUGUGUAUUCGUCUGUGAGGUGAACGUGCUAUUGCAGCGGAAAGUACGUGAUUUAUCGCAUAGGAGCGAUAUUUAUUUAAAUCAUGAUGCCAAGCAGCUUAACAGCAGUCGAUCUGAUUCGUUUAAUCAACGGUGAAACAAUCAUCGAAAGGGAUCUUUCAACACUUGUGUGAUUACAUUACAUUUGGUUGUUAUUUGCUACCAACCAGCCCUAAAACAAAUUACUCUGUUCCUCCUCCACAAGUGUGAUCUUUACUCUGAUGUUGUGCUGUGUUUAUUUCUCAUAGACUUCUUUAAUCUUGUUGCAUCUGGCCACGUAUCAUUUUUCUUCCCUAAGUGGACCCAAAUGUUAGUUUAACACCCGCCAAAAAGCAUUUCCAGUAAACCUGAGAAAUAUAUAAAGAAUAUAAUCACAAAAAGGGACAAAUUAAUGUAAUGUGUUAAUGUAGUGCAUUUGCGUAAGAACCAGGAAAGCUAUGACUAAAUAUAAUUUCUGAAAGUGUAAAAUAUCCUUUGUGGGAUUGAAACUAUGACUCGUUUUGUCUCUGGAUGGCAUUAAAAGGCUUUAGAGCCAAUGAGGAUUGUCAGAUCGCAAUUACACUCACCUUUAAAGAAGUUGUGAACAUUUGCAUGGAGUCCAAUGAAUCAUUUCAGACUGUGGGGGUGCAUUGACUUAUAGGAAAACAGACAAUGAGUGUGUCAACAUGUAGUUAAGAAUGAGUAGAAAGACAAAUGUUUCCGUUUUAUGUGGUAUUUGAUAUUUUUAGAGGUUUUGCCACAUUGGUCAGACCAGACGUGACAUGGACUGGGGAAAGUUGAGUGUUCUUCCAGGUAGCACUGGUCGGCUUUUAUCUUCUCCAAAGAUGUUGCAAAAGCAACCACAAGCUCAUCUCUCACAGCUGAACAGCAACAACAUUAGCGCCCAUUCUUGUCUGUGUGUGUUUUGGUCAGAAGUGGAUAGACAGUCUUGUGUGGUUUGGAGUGAAUCAUCCAGUCAACAUCCGGACUCUGGUUUAUAUCUGUGAAAGCUGUGCUAUGUCAGGAACUGACCAGCAGCAUAUUAAAAGUGUUCAGCAACAAUUUUUGUGGCGGCUAAUGGCACAUACAAUUUUAGUUGACAACAAACAUAGAGAUCGCAAUCUUUAACAUAGAGGUCGCAAUCUUUCAAACUUAAAGUUUGAAAAUGCCGUAACUGUACUUUCUGGUCAUGUAGGCAUUGUGCGUCGUCUGGUAUUGAUUACAGAUAGCAUGAUGAAAUAUGUAAUUUGUAAAGUAAUCUAGAUUACUUGUUUACUUGUUUUACGUAUUCAAAAUUCUAAGACAAAUAAAACAUUACUUUAACCAGAGUUUCCGAAACGGUAACAGCUACCACAGAUGUUUAUCAACAAAAAAUGCUGGGUUAAGUAUGGACUAACCCAGCUAUCGGGUUGUUUUCAAUCAACAGUGGGGUUAAAUGCAAAACAACCCAGUUGCUAGGUUUGUCCAUAUUUAACCCAGCAUUUUUAACAGCAGGAUUCUAUUCUAUGAAUACAGUCACUGAUAUUUUAAUGGAAACUAAAUGUCUCUGAGCAGACUGAUAAAAAAAAUAAAAUAAACUUAUGUUCUUACCCAUGGAAGCCAGCCAAUCAGAUUACAGUUUUCCAGAUCGUGAAAGUACUCAAUAUGUAUCAGACUGUGAGUGUAGAGUCAGACUCUGAAAAUAACCUAUGAUCAGCCUCCCAAACAUUAAAACCGGCAUAUGAGAAAGUCUUAUUACAUGGACAAAAUUAUACACAUCUGCUUCAAGUACAGAUGGGUUGAAAGACACCAUUUAUACCCCUCAUUCAAACCAGGAAGCUUCAAGAGGACCUGUAGGAGUAAUUUAAUGGAUUUCCUCCUUAUUGAUCAGAAGGGAACAACGCCUCCUUGGUAGUGUGAUUUAUCUUGAUGUAGCAAUAGCCAAGUGCUUAUAAGUCCUAGAUGACCAUCGCAGAAGCCAUGUGCAUGUGUCUAAGUGCUUAUUGGAACUGUCAAAGACUUGGCCCACCCACCGGCUGGAGUCCCCAGUUCAUUUGUUGAACACAGGGCAAAUGUUAAGCCCAUCAGUGACCUGGACAGCCUGUUCUCUAGGAAGUUAGUCCACCCCAAAGCUGUGUUGAAUAACUUACUUCAAAUAGCUUUUACCAGGGCCUUCUAAUCUACUUACCUCUAUGAAAUAUUUUAAUUUCCCAUGUGGAAGUUUGAAGGUAAGAAAUGUUCUGUAGAUUACAUUCGCCCAAGCAGGGGACAGCGGAUUAUUUGUAUAUUAUAAUGGAGCUGAUUGUCAAGAGACCAGCUCCAGCAUACAUUCUCAGAAGGCUGAGAGAAUGCGGGCAUGUUUUUUACUUGCGCUAUAGUCGCAGCACAAAAUUAUUGGCUAGAUUGUCAACUUGAAAUGUUUAAUUCGGCUAAGAGGAUUAAGAUUCUUUAUACUGUUCAGUGGCUCAGCCGGCGUUUGGAUUACCUGCACCUCAAGCUUACUGUACGAAGUUGGAAAAUAAACCCUGAUAAAGAUCCAGGGGCCAAACAAAACAAACUCAUUACCUGCAAUGCUCAAAUUAUGAAAUUUCUGCUACUUCUGCAACCCUUCAUUAUGCUGAGAAAACUGAGGUGUAGGCAGGUUCUCUUUGUUUUGACUAAGACGUAAAUUGACGUGUUCAAGAUAUGGACCUUCGAUGAUUUAUCUCCUGAAUUUCCCUAGACCAUAAGAUCUUAUUGCAAGGCACUUUUGUUUUUCAGAAAAAUCCUCUUCGACGUGAUUACAGGAGAUUUGGAUUUCUAAGACAUCCAAGUCGCAGGUAAUGCCGCGAAGCAGACAAUAAACACAACAAAGGCAUAGUUUCCAAAGAAAAUCCAUUUGAGCCUUGCCCAAAGGAGAUCUCAGAGUCUCCUGGAAAAGACUCCUCUUGUGAUACCUCGGAGAGUUUGCGUACGCAGCGGGAGCCGCGAGUGGCCGCGGCCGGAGCCAAGGACAAAAGAUCAAACUAAGAGAACCACACAUGAACUGAUGAAAACAACAGCUUCAUUGUGUGGCGGGCGUCUUUAUCGGGACCCCCUCUCAUUUGCUGUUUCCUCCUUCUUUUCCUCCCCCACUUUCUGCGUUUUUUCAUGUGGUAACAAAUGUAUAAGGAAGCAAUGGUUUGAAAGAUUCUUCGGUUGGAAAAAAAGCUUUGUAAUUGAAAACACACAUUGAGUCAGAGGAGCUGAGCUACCAGGGGAGGGCAGAGAAAGCCCCAAUGAACAAAGGUUUGAAUUGCGAAAGAGACAAACUAGACUCUGCGUGACAUCUGACUAAAUACUCUCAUUGUUUUUCUCCCCAAAAACAAGUAUCGCAUAACCGGCGGAGGGAAAGAACAGAGGAGAGGGACGUCUGCCGAGUCCAGACCUGCUGCCUUGACUUCCCCCAGCGAGCUUCAGAAACAAUCCGUCCGGUAUUACGGAGACGUGCCCUUGAAAACUGUUUAUCCGUCUGACUCUGUGCAACAAUAUAAACUUGUGAACCAUGUUUUGGAAGCAUCUGUGUUUUUCAAAAGCUAUGAAUGGUUUCAGACCUCCUUCAAGGAAGGUUUAAGCCCUCAAAGUUAGAUAAUAGGGUAAGUCACGAGUGUUUAUAUUGUAGCGGUUGCAUCAAUCUGUUGCACAUUGCUGGAGAGGCAUAACAGGACACUGACUCUCAGCUUAAAGUUCAUGGAUAUUGGUUCCAGAUUUCGCCCAUUCAUGGAGAAACGUCUCAAAUCCUCUUGUUGUGGAGAGGUAUACCGUUUGCAAAGGGAUCAGACCUACAGUUUUCUGCAUUCAAAGUCCAGAGGAUCGUUGAGACAGGAGGGUGGGCUUUUCUGACUCGGGGCUAGCAACACCCUAGCAACCAUUCAAAACAUUAGAAACCACCUAAAUCAAGAAGAAAAACACCAAAGUCAACAGGAGUCCUCCGAGCUGUUGGAGGGCCCCACUCCAUGUGACCCUCUCCCCCAUAUUGGACGCUGUGGCCCCCCGCACAUCAUACACAACACAUGUUUUCCAGCCCUUGACAUCCACAGAUACCGUAUCCACCAACAGUAGCAGUGCAGUAGGUUGUGGGAAACCGCACAGGGAGUGCCUGGCCGUGGAGGGAUGGAGAACAGAGUGAUAUGGAUAAGCGGAUUGGCAGUCUUCCUCUACUAGUACAAGGAAACCCUAAACACACAAACACUCCCUCCAUUUAGGGUCAACUGAACGGUCAACCCACAAAACAGGUGAGAAGCGCUUUUGUUCAUGUAUGCGAACCCUGUUUCCAUUCCCGUACUCCCACCCAGCAUUAUAUAGUAUAAAUAAAUAUUCAAUCAAGCUCUCUUUUGAGGUUCUGUGUUGGCUGGCUACUAUUAUGUUACAAAUCCCAGGCCUGAGGGGUAGUUAUAGAAACCCCUUCCAAAAUACUCGGUAGGAAAAAGAAUAGACGCCUUGAGGCCGGGGGUUCCACCCGCGCCCCCCUUUUCUCCACAUCCUUUAAACCAUCAGCGGAGUGGAGCCCAUGACGCAGAGCGGGACACCUUCUCUGACGUGGUCUAGUUCACCUAAUGGGUGUUCCGCAUUUUUUUCGGCCUUUACGUUGUGGCUGUAAAAAUGGCCACUUUGCUUAUUGGCCCUCUCCAGAGUUGGUGUGGAAACCGCACGGAAAAAUCCCAGUGGCGUAAACCCAACUGGCAGCUCGUAAAAGUGGUUCCCUCUGCGUUAACCAGACGGUAAAGCCUGUAAUAACCCCAGCAUUAUUUACUUACCCUUAGGCAUUAUUGUUUAUGUUAUGUUGUCGUAACCUUUAUUCUUUAAAGGAACGGUUCCAUUUUUAAACUUAUGUAAUUUAGUCACACUCAAGUUGUUCCAAACCCAUAUGACCUAUUUUUAUAUGGAAAACUAGAUUUUUUUUUUUAAAUAUAUGCAAAUCUUUUCCAUACCAUGACAGCUUAAAGUGGCCACAGCUGUUAAGCUCAAAAGAAAAAUCUUAAAAGAACCACUAUAAGCAGUCGAUACAACAUACUAUUACUAUACACAAUGUUUUCUUGAAGUCAUACAACAGGCCUAAAUUAUAUUCACUGAUAAUCUUCCUCACAGUAAGCUGUUAAACUUGAGAACUGAUCAUUGAGUCACUGAGUUCAGAACUUAGAUCUGUGAAUGAACUGUUUGUCCGGUUUGCCAACCAGAUCAACCAGUUCACUGGAAAGAAAAAGCUCAAAACCCGAUUGAGCCUAAUACAUGUAAGACUACAUUCGAUAAUAAACAUCUUGAAAGUUUCUAUCCAUUGGUUGUUGGUUGGAUGGAGGCAGAUCUGAGUGCAAGCUUGCAGUCUUUAGCACAACAAUCUAGUUCUGUGAGUAAAACAUCCAUAGGAUUUUGCUGAAGCUAUCAGUUUGAAUUAUUUAAACUUAUGUUUCAACAAUGUUUAACAGCUAAGUUCCUGGUGAAAAACGACAUGCAAAUUAUGUAAUAGAGUCAAAAUACUAAAAUAUGUGCAUAUUUUGCAAAAAAAACUUGUUUAUAUGCACAAUCAACAGUUUCAUAUGGAUAGUUUUACAUUUCUGCCUUUCAGAAUCGAAAUCCCCGAAAUCAAAGAACUGUGAUGUUGGUCAAACCGCCUCAUGGGCAGCCCUUGGCCAAUGAAAGCUGUCACGGAUUCCAGCGCGUCACGUUCUUUAACUACCACCCGAAAACAAAGAUGCUGUGACUCCAAAAUCCUCACGAAAGACGAAAGCCGUCACGUUUACAACAGUGACAACAAGCACUUAUGAGGAUAAACUAAGCGCUUUAAGUUCGCAAGAUAGAAUUUUUUUUAAAUACAUCAGCAAUCAGUCUGAAGGCCUGGCUACGCGCGACUAACUGAAGGGUGACCAAACCAAUUUUCAUGAUUUUCUUUUUUUUGACAGAUGUAAUUCAUUAUGAAACGUCACUGCAUGAAGCUACAAAAAAAACUACUUUUGUUUUGAGCCUACAGGUUUUUAACUAAAUGAUGAAAGUUUCUGGUUUGGGGAAUUAAUCUUCUAUAAUGAUGACGAUAAAUUAAAAAAAAAAAAAAAACAUGGUUGUGUAACACUUCUGGCAACCUUUGUGAAGAAACAAACAGGGCAGGGCAUCCUAGGACAACUGUCGACUGGAACGCUAAGGCCAUGGAUGGAGAGAUAAGCAGCUGUGAGUGGAAUCACGCAAACCACUCCUUUCACUUCCCUCUGCUUCCCUCCCUCGGUGUCUCCCACUUGAUCCGAAUUCCACAAAACACAGUUCCCUGAAUUAGCUAUAUGUUUAUACAUAUAAUUCAUACUCCCGCUCGGCUGUCAAGCAUCUCCAAAACAUCUUGUCAGUAUUGAUCAUUCUCAUUGACUAACACUCAUAUUACCCCUAUCUAGGUGACCGACCACCCCGGGAGCGCAAAAACAAGUGAUAAACAGAACAUUAGCGAGCCGUUGUAUAAGGGCUUCAUAAACUUCAGGCCAGCUGAUGGCACUGCUGCUGUCAGUUGAGUUUGGCUUGCGUUGUUAGGCGAGUCGACAACAAAACAGAGUGAGCAGAGGUGCAAAAGAGCGAAGGGGGGGCUCACAAGACAUGCUCUCGCAUGCAAAAACAGCUGGCCGGUAUGUACUGGAGUGGACCAGAAUGGAGAGGUCUUGACACUCUUUGUUUCAUCUUAAAAGAGCAACUAGUAGAACACAAGAUACUCUAAAUAUUAGACACUUGAUGCAACUGGACGCUUAACACCCUAAUGUUCAAAAUACCGCAUUUACAUCUCCGCUUUCGAAUCGCAAAAUACAAAUUGUCAAUGUGUUUCUAGUGAAAAUAAUGUCUCAUUGUAAUUGGAAAGACGACUGACUUACGUGUCGCUUAAAUCUGUCACACCAUAUUAAAGAGUGUGAAAAACACAUUUUUGUAUAUAUAUUGUUCGCAUUUUGAUCGGAUUCGUCUGAAAGAAGAAAGUCACAUACAACUAGGAUGCUUUAAAGGUGAGUAAAAGACAGGAUCAUUUUCACCAUUUUUGGGUGAACUAUCCCUUUAAGUGACCAAACACUGAAUUCUUAACUAAAUGCAGGUAAAUACUUACAGCCAUGUAUUGUAAAAGUUACACAUUUCUUCUUUUCCUUUUAUUUUUGAUGAACAGACAUCACAGUAGCUGGUUAAUACCUUGUUUUUGGCUGCUAUUUUUUUUAAGAGCUGUCACUGCUGAAGGUGGUGAUCUGGAAAGAUCUUUUCUGACCCAUUUCAGUCUCUGCUAAUAAACUGAUGAUUUGAAUCAGGUGUGUUUGAUGAGGGAGACUGCUGGGACGCUUCAGUAAAGUUUUGAAAACCUUUUCAGAGGCUUUUAUAUAUAUUUUAUAUAUAACAUAUUGCAUGCACACACAGUUUUAAGGCAGCUUUAAUCGCCUUAACUUCAUGCCGUAACUGACCGAAACGUUUUCAGUUUGAUAUGAUUGUAAAGAUGUUCUGCGACUGAAUAAAUGCACUUCUUUUCAAGAAAAUAAAGACACAUAGCAGUUAUGAGUGUGGUGGGCAACCCUAAGCUCCGCCCCUGCAUUAAAUAAUUUAAGUGUCACACUAAAAAAAAUUAAUUGUCUGCGAUAACGACACAUCCGAGAGAAACGAGAGAGAGAAAGAGAGAGAGCUGUCAUAGCCUAGAAACAACAUACUUUUUAUAAAUGUUUACAUGCAUAAAUAGGAUAACAUAUUUGAAUUUUUGUCUUGUAAUAA